rnacentral:misc_RNA from 1 species
CGCCGCGUGGCUGCGUCCGACGAUCGCCGCGAGGCCGAGGUCACCGAUCUUAACCUCGCCGAUGUUUCCGUUCAUGAACACGUUGCUGCAGUUGAGAUCGCGGUGGAUGAUGCAUGGGGUGUGGGCGUGGAGGUGGUGGAGACCGGUCAGGAUCUGGCGGGACCACUUCUUCAGGGCUUUCACCGAUACGUGCCGGUGGCGUUUCCGG